UUUACCAAUCUAGCCCCAAGUUGUCUUGUAAAAUCACUUAACAACUUCUCAACACUUGUUGUUUCCAUGAUAGGGCGUGAAGAGCUAGUUUCUUGUUGAGAUACUCGGUGACUAUUUUUUUCUUCUUUGAGUUGGAAAGCAAUGAAAUUGAUGGACUCUUGAAGCUCUCCCAAAGAUGCUUCAAUCCUUGCAUUGUGAGCCGCUUGAAUAGCUAUAUUGGCACGAUAGCGAGCUUCAAUGUCUUGGAUUAGCUUAACAAUAUCUUCAUUGGAAGUGGAGGGACCAUAAUUCCCAUUCAUCGAGUCAUGGAAUUGAGAAUCACCAUGAAACCCAGGUUGGUCUUGUCAAUUUGAAUAGCCUUGAUCUUUUGAACCCCAAUUAGUGAAAUCAUCAUAACCACAGUCAUACUCAUUCUGAUAUCCAUAAUGAACCGGCGGGAAGUCUUGAUUAGGAGAGUCAAAUUGCAUCUGUGCUUGGUUAUCCAUACUUCGUCCUGCAAACAAAGCUGAACUAUCCAAAACAACAAAUACAGGGGUGAAACAGAAAAAUAAAGACUAAGCGAGCAAUCCUACACCUUUCGUGAAGUCAAGUAGAGUCCCCGGCAACGG
rnacentral:lncRNA from 1 species